rnacentral:rRNA from 1 species
GAUGAACGCUGGCGGCGUGCCUAAUACAUGCAAGUCGAGCGAACAGACGAGGAGUUUGCUCAUCUGACGUUAGCGGCGGACGGGUGAGUCACACGUGGAUAACCCACCUAUAAGACUGGGAUAUCUUCGGGAAACCGGAGCUAAUACCGGAUAAUAUAGUGAACCGCAUGGUUCAAUAGUGAAAGACGGUUUUGCUGUCACUUGUAUAUGUAUCCGCGCCGCAUUAGCUAGUUGGUAAGGUAACGGCUUACCAAGGCAACGAUGCGUAGCCGACCUGAGAGGGUGAUCGGCCACACUGGAACUGAGACACGGUCCAGACUCCUACGGGAGGCAGCAGUAGGGAAUCUUCCGCAAUGGGCGAAAGCUUGACGGAGCAACGCCGCGUGAGUUAGGAAGGUCUUCGGGUCGUGAAACCCUGUUAUUAGGGAAGAACAGCUGUGUAAGCAACUAUGAACGUCUUGACGGUACCUAAACAGAAAGCCACGGCUAACUACUUG